rnacentral:misc_RNA from 1 species
ACUCCAGUGCGCCGCCGACCCUAAAAAUUCCAGUGCGCCGCCGCCGCCAUGCUCAGAGUCCAGAGCCUCCAGCCUCCAGUGCCCACUCCCCACUGCGCUGCUCUGCGCAACCAACGCAAGCCGCUAGUGCCCAGUGCAGAGCAACAGAGCAAGACACUAGUGCCCUCACCUGUCACUGCGCUCUGGCAGCUCUGCUCUGCCUCACUUCUGCUGAGCAAGACCAGCAGCUGAGCAGCCACUCCGCAAGACCAGCAGCCAGCCUCAAAUUGAAUUUGUUGAUUUUGCUCACAUUGAAUCAAUCUUUAUUUGCUGACAGUGAAUUUCAAUGGCAACAAAUAGCGAGGCAACAAAUAGUGUUGUUGAACUUGAUCUUUUUCUUUUUAUGCUAAUGCUAUUUUGUUUGUGAACUCAACUUAUGUAUGAAAUUAUUCUAUAUUUGAA